GUCUGGGAAACUGCCUGAUGGAGGGGGAUAACUACUGGAAACGGUGGCUAAUACCGCAUAACGUCGCAAGACCAAAGAGGGGGACCUUCGGGCCUCUUGCCAUCAGAUGUGCCCAGAUGGGAUUAGCUUGUUGGUGAGGUAACGGCUCACCAAGGCGACGAUCCCUAGCUGGUCUGAGAGGAUGACCAGCCACACUGGAACUGAGACACGGUCCAGACUCCUACGGGAGGCAGCAGUGGGGAAUAUUGCACAAUGGGCGCAAGCCUGAUGCAGCCAUGCCGCGUGUAUGAAGAAGGCCUUCGGGUUGUAAAGUACUUUCAGCGGGGAGGAAGGUGUUGUGGUUAAUAACCGCAGCAAUUGACGUUACCCGCAGAAGAAGCACCGGCUAACUCCGUGCCAGCAGCCGCGGUAAUACGGAGGGUGCAAGCGUUAAUCGGAAUUACUGGGCGUAAAGCGCACGCAGGCGGUCUGU
rnacentral:rRNA from 1 species